rnacentral:rRNA from 1 species
AUUGAACGCUGGCGGCAUGCUUUACACAUGCAAGUCGCACGGGAUAGGGGCAACUCUAUUUAGUGGCGAACGGGUGAGUAAUACAUCGGAACGUACCCUGUAGUGGGGGAUAACUAGUCGAAAGAUUAGCUAAUACCGCAUAUUCUCUGAGGAGGAAAGCGGGGGACCGCAAGGCCUCGCGCUAUAGGAGCGGCCGAUGUCCGAUUAGCUUGUUGGUGAGGUAAAGGCUCACCAAGGCUGCGAUCGGUAGCUGGUUUGAGAGAAUGAUCA